rnacentral:lncRNA from 1 species
CUCUUUCGGCUGUGCCUUCUCCACUGAAAGCUGAGUGUGUGGCUGGCCUUUUCCCUGCCCCCUGAAAGCUACGUUUAGAGUUCCCCAAUCUAUUCUUAAAUUUCUCCGCAGCUCCCCAUCCUCCCUGCUUUCUCUGCCUCUUACACUUGAGAGUGAGAAAGGACCAUAUCAAGCAGGUGCCCCAUGGCAUUAACUCCACAGAUGUUUAAGCAGACCUCCUGUGUGCAGGCACUGUGCCAGAUAGAAAUUUGUCAGUGCCAAAAUGCAUGAAGAGAACCAAUCAUUUUAUCCUGGAGAAACUGAGGCCCAGAGAUGGAAGGAGGAGAGCCUGUCUCAGAGCCCCAUGUCCUCAUGCCCAGGAAUUUGCCGCACCCCAGGGAUUGGACCCAGGUCACAACCAAGGAAGCUGCACAAGAUCUGAAGUGUUAGCCAUCUCCUCUCAACCAAAUGCAUGUGCUGAGUCCUCAUAUGCUGGGGUUCUUGCAAAUAACUUCCAUGUAGAAUAAAAUGCUUAUUAAAGGGUCAGUAAUAAAAUGUGCUGUUUUGAAGCGUACAUCUAUACAUACUUUUUUAUUUUUUGAAAAAGGGUUUUGCUGUGUCACUCAGGCUGGAGUGCAGUAGCCCAAUCAUGGCUCACUGCAGCCUCAAACUCCUGAUUUCUAGUCAUCCUCCCACCUCAGCCGCCUGAGCAGCUGGGACUACAGACAUGUGCCACCAAGCCCAGCUAUUUUAUUUUAUUUAUUUAUUUAUUUUGUAAAGAUAGGGGUCUCGCUAUGUUGACCAAGCUAGUCUUGAACUCCUGGGCUCAAGCAAUCCUCCCACCUUAGCCUCUCAAAGUGGUGGCAUUACAGGUGUGAGUGUGCCCAGCUGACAUCUGUAUUAUUGAAACUCAAGAGUAACCACACAGUUAUUUAGAAUAUAGACCAACAAGAUAUUUUUCAGGGAGGAAUACUUUAU